CUCGAAACCUUCAUCGCAGUAUGUUUUCGUCAUGUCUGUAGCGGCUCGCUGCCUGCUAUAUAAAACGCAUUUCCCUUCGGCGUAUUCACAUUCAGUGCGAUCUCAAGCGAGGCCGAUACAAACUUCGACACAAAACUCAACACGUUAUUCCACACUGAAUUCAGGUCGAGCAGCCUGCAGUUCCAGCAAGAACGCAAUGCGAAUGCAAUGAAAGGGACAGGAGAGACCACGGCAAUAUUUGUCGCCGGCAUCUUCGCUGUUCUGACGGUUGCCUGCUCGGCUUCUUCUUAUGAUGAAUGUCCAGACCACCAGCUCGUAUCGGACGCUGCGAUUAACGGUGCCAUCUCUUCAAUGAAGAACAUCUACUUCACUGAGGAAUUCGGGCUCGCGCAAUGGUGGUGGAGCCCUUUGGCCCUUAAUUUAACAUCACUAUACUUCUCCAUAGAGGGCACUUUCGAGCCUUUUACGCGAUACUGCAAAGGAGUAGACGCCAUGGUGGAUGCGGAACUUGAGUUUAACUGGGUCGUCAAUGCAGAAUGCACUAUUGGAGACCAGAAAGACUUCCUGGGAGCCGCUCGUGUGUAUUUCAACCAAGGGGUAGCCAUGGUCCAGUUCCAGUUGAACUCGUCCUCAGAAAAUCAAACUUUCACGUUGCACCCAGCAGCAGUGCGUCCCACGAGGCAGGGGACUAUUUCAACCAGAUUCUACACCAUUGAGGCGCGAUAUUACAUGGAAUCGGUGCAUAUUCUGGUGAACCAGUUGGUUAAGCUCUAUGCAAAUGAUAUAGUUAGCUGGAUGUCGGAGCGUUUUGUUAUUGAGAACGUUUUAGAGUGGGGAAUAAAUAAAAUGGCGCCCUUUUACCUAGGCUUGUAGAGCAAUAAUCCAUAAAGUGUACAAAGUUACAGUACCCAAAUAACAAAACAUCUCGUUAAAAACUUUACUAGCUGCAUUUAUAAGUGUGAUUCAUUUAUUUCCGGUCAUGAUCCGGAAAUAAAUGAUCCGGAAACAAGAUGAUCCCGGCGCACGUGUACAAAUCUAAAUUAGUAACUGAAACGUUCUCCUUAGGGUCGUGCUUCAAUCAUUUUCAAAAAAGUAAAAGUUUGGUUUCGCGAACAAAUUUCUGUGGUCAAUGAGGUUAAAUUCAGGCUAUCCUCCUGCGUUGUCCUGGCAUCUAUGUCUGAAUGCGUUACGCUGAUCAUUCUAAAGCAUUGGUCCUCGUGCAAAUGCCUACUUGUCUUAUUUUAUGCGCUCGCGAUUUUUAUAUUUCAAUAAAUUUAGAAAAUCUUC